rnacentral:rRNA from 1 species
UACGGAGGGCGCAAGCGUUGUUCGGAAUCACUGGGCGUAAAGCGCGUGCAGGCGGCUUGGUAAGUCGGGCGGGAAAUCCCGGAGCUCAACUCCGGAACUGCACCCGAUACUGCCUCGCUAGAGUCCCGGAGAGGAUGGCGGAAUUUCCGGUGUAGAGGUGAAAUUCGUAGAUAUCGGAACGCACACCGGCGGCGAAGGCGGCCAUCUUGACGGUGACUGACGCCCCGACGCAAGAGCUCAGGGAGGAAACAGG